GGCGCGGUCCCAGCGAGGUUCGGAGAAGCCGUAGUGGCUUCCAUGUGAUGGGGGAGCAGGAGGCAGGUCUGCGCGGUUUAUCUGGGUUGCUCCACAUGACACUGUUUCAUCAUUUUGGUGGCCGAAGAACAUUCCCUAUUGUGUACAUAAAGAGUGUUUCUUGAUCCCUUUAUCUGUGGAUGGACAGGAGAUGAAGAUGUUUUCAGUCUGCAUGCCUGAGAUUGUGUGGAAUGGGACUUUGUCUAACAGGCUCAUUCAUUGGACCUGACGUUCUCCAGGUUUCUUCAUGUGGCUGCAGAUGGCAGGAUUUCCCAGAGCGUUAUGGUUGGAACAUACUCUGUGGUGUAUCUGUACAGCAGUUUCUUCAUCCCUGCAGCUGUGUGUGGACGGGUCAUAUACCAUGAUGUCCUCCAGGUUCAACAGUGUGGCUCCAAAUGAUGAAAUUUCAUUCUGGUUUUCUGGUUGAAGACGAUUCUACUUGUGUACAUCCACCAGGUAUCCCUUCAUUUGCGGAUGGGCAGGUUUUUCCAUGUGGCUACAAGUGACGAGAUUUCACCCAUUUCUAUGAUUGAAGAAUAUUCUACUCUGGAUGUAUAUUGUAAUUUCCUCAUCCCUUCAUCAAUGGAUGUACAGGGAACAUUCAUUCUAUGUGGAUGGAAGCUGUAUCUCAGUGCAGUUUUCCUUGACAUUCUUGUGAGGAUUAGUGCUUUUGAGAAACUUUUCUUUUCCCUGUGAGUCAGUUUCACAUCUGCUUUGCAGACACGUCUAUUCAGGUCCUUUGCCCAGACUUAGCUUGGGUGUUUGUUUUUGUUCCCCCCCCCCAUGGUAGUGUUAGUUUCUUGCACAUAUUUUAUAAUGACCCCUUUCAAAGACAGGAUUUUCCAUAGUUUUCUUUCAGUCUCUGAGGCACCUUCUCUUCUGUUCAUUGUUUUCUUUUUGCAGCAGAAGAUCCGAUGUUUUCCGUAGUUGCACGUGUUUACAUAUUAGUGGUGACUUCUGUGUGCAGUUAAAAACAGUGAAAAAGAUUGCCAAUCCAUGGGAUUGUCUAUGGUUUUUUUAAUUCUAAUUUUCUUUUCUUUUUAUAUUUCACAUUUUGCAACUUGUGUGCAUAGAUUAGUCUUCUAAACUAUGUGCUUACCGUUUGUUUCCUGAGGGAAGUAAAUGGUUGCAAGAUUGAGUUUAGGCCUUCAAUGUAAUUUACAUCGAUUUUUGUCCUAUUUCACUGUUUUUCGUGUGGCUGUCAAGUUUGCUCAAAAUCAUUUAUUAUUUUCCCAUUGUAUCUUUUUGUGUUGUGUUGAAAAAUGUGUUCAGUGUACAUUCAUUUGGGUGGCAUGUGGGACUCCCUCAUUCUGUCCAUUGGGUAGCCUUUCUAUUUUUAUGCCAGUGGCAGGUUGUUUGGAUAAAUAAAGGUUUUAGUUGCUUUAUCAUUAUGCCCACUUAGUACCUUUAGUUUCUUGCAUAUGUUAGAUAACAGUUCUUUUCGGAUACAUGAUUUCCUAUAAUUUUAUCCCAAUCUGUAGGGUGCCUUUUCUUUGGGUUCAUUGUUUUCUCCUUGUUUAUAAAUUUUAAAAUUGUCCUUUGGGAGCAGAUGGAGCUCUGAGGAAAUUGUGCCCAGAGCUCAGAGUAGAUGGAGCUGUGAGCAAGAUGAAGCUCAGAAUAGAUGGUGCUUAGAAUAAGAUGGAGCACCAAGCAUAUGGUGCUCAGGGCAAGAUGGAGCUUCAGUGAUUGUAGCUCAGAACAGAAGGAGCUCACAGAAGAUGUUGCUCCCAGUAAGAUGGAGUUCCAAGCAGAUGGUGCUCAGAGUAAGAUGGACCUAAAAGUGAUUAGAACUCCGAGAAAGAUAAUGCUGUCUGCUGAUGGUGCUUAGAGAGAGAUAGAGCUCAGAGUGAUUGCUCUGAGACAUUGCAGCUCCGAGCAGAUGGUGCUGGGAGCAAGAUGGAGCUCAGGGUGAUUGCCCUGAGAGAUUGGAGCUCCGAGCAGAUGGUGCUCGGAGCAAGAUGGAGCUCAGGGUGAUUGCCCUGAGAGAUUGGAGCUCUGAGCAGAUGGCGUUCGGAACAAGAUGGAGCUCAGGGUGAUUGCUCUGAGAGAUUGGAGCUCUGAGCAGAUGGUGUUCGGAGCAAGAUGGAGCUCAGGGUGAUUGCUCUGAGAGAUUGCAGCUCUGAGCAGAUGGUGCUCGGAGCAAGAUGGAGCUCUUAGUGAUUGGAGCUUUGAGCACAAUGGGGCUUGGAGCAGAUGCAGCUCUGAGCAACAUGUAGCUCAGAAAACAUGUUGCUUAUAGCAAGAUGGAGCUUGAGCAGAUGGUGCUCAGAGCAAAAUAAAGCUGGAAGUGAUUGGCGCUGUCAGCAAGAUAGAGCUCGGAGGAGAUGUAUCUCUGAGCAACAUGGAGCUUGGAACAGAUGAAGCUCUAAGCAAAAUUGAGCUUGGAGCAAAUGUUACUUGGUUUCAGAUGGAGCUCAGGGCAGAUGGUGCUCAGAGCAAGAGGGAGCUCAGAGAACAUGCUGCUCACAGUAAGAUGGCACUUGGAGCAGAUGAUGCUCAGAGCAGAAUGGAACUGGAAGUGAUUGGAGACGGAGCUCAGAGUGAUGGGAGCUCUAAGCAAGAUGGAGCUUGCAGCAAAUGGAGCUUGAAGUGGGUGGUUCUCAGAACAAGAUGGAGCUUGGAAUGUUGGGAGCUCCGAACCAAGUGGAGCUCAGAUCAGAUAGACCUGCAAGAUAGACCUCUGAGCA